rnacentral:lncRNA from 1 species
CUCUUGGACUCGCUUGCUAUUCCCGAAAAGGGGGAAAGGAUUUGGGGGGGACAAUCGCGGAGCCUCUCGCUGGCUUUAGGGAGAGAGGGCUGGGGUAGAGGAGAGCCCCAGGGAGCAGGCAGAGGUGGGUUGGCUAGGGCCUUGUGUGACUUGGGCUGAGAAACUUCACUUAUUCCCUGGCGCUGGCAGUUGUCAAACUGGGUCUUGUAGAUGCUAAGUCUCCAUAGAGGUAUCGUAGGGAUGACCUUUUUCCUGAAGAAACUGCUGCAGAAUGAAAGCUCCAGGCGCUUGGGUGCAGCAAGUAGGCUAUGCAUUUCCCACCAGCAGGAAUCUAGCUCCUGGCCAAGGUGAGCCACGCAGAGCAGCAGCCACGGGUAUCAUCCUCCCAGGAGGCAGAUCCCAAUUCGCGGAGAAGACCCGGCCAGCGGGAGGAUGCCAGCCUCAUCCUCAAGGCUGGGAUUGGGACUCUUUCCAGAAGGAACGACCUCUGUGCUUGAGUUGGUUGGGGGGCGCAAUGGAUUCUUUAACACUGGGGAAAUUCAUACAGAUGAAAGUGAGAGACACAUGACAGUGAACUGUAA